CCGUCUUGCUAGGCACACUGCACAGUGACAAGGAAGCAGUCUCAAUCAGGGGUGUGCUUCCUGUGGCUGGCCCCUCCCACCACACUCAGAGAGAGAGCUGCGUGUAUGAGGCCAGCAGCAGCAGAAGCUGACCUCUCUCUCUGCUCCUCGGCUCUCACUGCUGCCUUCCCACACUGUCCUCUAGUCUGCUCCUAAGAGGAAGGAACAACGUAGCCAGUCUCCAAAAAGUCACAAAGAGCCUCUGGCCCUGUCUCCACUCCUACUGAAGCUGAGGAUGCUGAUGAAGCUGGUCCCUCCACACACGUGUUGCCACCACGGAAACGCAGUCUGGUUGUGUCUUCAAGACCACUACACAUCACAACACCACAUCGACGCAUGUUGGAGGUUUCAGCCAUGCCCCCAAUGCAACUCAUUGACAGUCCACAGCCUUUACCAUAAGUCAAACAUAGGUCAAAAAUUUCAAAGAUGGAAGUUCCAUUUAAGAUGGGAUGUUGCCUAUAGCAACCAAUCAGAUUCUAGUUCUCAUUUAUGUAGCACCUUCUAGAAGGGAAAACAUGGAAUAUGAUUGGUUGGUAUGUGCAACAUCACAUUUAAAGUAGAACUCCCAUCUUAGAAAAAUGUCACCAUUGUAGUUUUACAGUUUAAGGAAGCAGCUUAGUGACAAAUAAUGCACUGCGAAAAUACUAAACAUUAAAUCAAUAAAAAAAAUAAUAAUAAUUGUGCAUAUGUUGUCCAUAGCCAGCAAACAAAAUCAGCAUAUAAUGUAGGAAAUUAAUUAUCCAAAAAUAUGGCACAUAUACCAAAUGUGUAUAUGGACAACAUCCACAAAUUUUUAAUUAAAGUAACUCAACACUUGUAGCCCUAGGGAAAAAAACACAUAGGAAAAUCCUUAUGAGUUCAUCAAAUUAUACUUACACACAACUGGUCUCUCAUUUCAGGAGAUACCAUUCUACACCCAACUCAGCCAGGUCAAGUGCAGGAACCUGACAAUGAAGACACAUUCACCUUAAAUCUCACAGCAAUACCACUGCCUGACCCAACAACUACACAUUUGUCUACUUCGCCCACUCAAAGGACACCAGAACAGGCCAUAAGCCCUACCACACCACUACCACAGUCUCAAGAACAGUCUUUUUGAGACAGCUGGUCCACCCAGCAAGCCAACAACUUAGAAUGUCUGCAUAGGCAAACCCAAUUUAUUGGUAGUCUGGUCCAUCACAUCCUCAGAUUAUGCAGAAGCAACAGCAGACAAACCACAGAAAUCUCCAGAAUGGCUAACACCCUGGAAUUAAUAAGGGCAGACAAUAAUAGGAUGCUAGAUACAUACCAAAGAAUCAUGGGUGAGAAUCUAACCUACCUGCAGAUAUUAACAGCAACACAAAACACUCAAGAGAGCAUGGUCUGAAUCAUGGAAAGCCACACGACAGCCACUAGAGACUUAAAUCUCACUCUAACUACCCUAACCCAGCAUCUCGCCCAUCAGUCUGAGCAAACAAGUACCAGUUCUACAUCUACAAUCCCCUUAGUGUCACCUAUAACCUCACCACCAAGACGUUCUGCCCGAACACAACCAGACACAAGUGGGAAAGGGUCAUCCAGCUCCAGAGGACGACCUGCAAAAUUAUUGAUCUUAAUCAUUUGUUUGAAACGGACAAUGGUAAUUUUAUGCAAGUAGCAUUUUACAUGUUCUGGUCACAAUUAAGGCCAUGGUUUAUUUUUUAGUAAAAAUGCUAAAAAUUAACAUAUUUAAAACAAAAAAACAAGGAUAAA